CGCCAGCCGACGAGUCCCGAAUAGGACGAAACGCAUGUCGUGGAU
rfam:Schistosoma mansoni strain Puerto Rico chromosome 3, complete genome